GAUGAACGCUAGCGGCAGGCCUAAUACAUGCAAGUCGAGGGGCAGCAGGAAUAGCAAUAUUUGCUGGCGACCGGCGCACGGGUGCGUAACACGUAUACAAUCUGCCUUCUACAGGGGGAUAGCCUUUCGAAAGAGAGAUUAAUACCCCAUAACACAAGAAAUAGCAUUAUUUUUUGUUGAGAGAUCCGUCGGUAGAAGAUGAGUAUGCGGGUGAUUAGCUAGUUGGUGAGGUAACGGCUCACCAAGGCAACGAUCACUAGGGGAUCUGAGAGGACUACCCCCCACAAUGGUACUGAGACACGGACCAGACUCCUACGGGAGGCAGCAGGAAGGAAUAUUGGACAAUGGAGGCAACUCUGAUCCAGCCAUGCCGCGUGCAGGAUGAAGGCCCUAUGGGUCGUAAACCGCUUUUGUACGAGAGAAAACCUAUUUACGUGUAGUUAGUUGAUAGUAUCGUAAGAAUAAGGAUCGGCUAACUUCGUGCCAGCCGCCGCCGUAAAAC
rnacentral:rRNA from 1 species